GGUGCGCUACAGUGGCUACACGCUUAUGCAUGCCAACUGCACCAUCGGACGCUACGUCGCCAUGACGCACGAAGCACAAAGUCCCAGCCAGAGAAGACACCGGCUUAUCAGGCGAAGCUUUUUCCGCAUCUACAAGGAUGGCCUCAGCAGCCUCAAGUACAGAGUGCUAGACAUCGUCUUCAAGAAGCUAUACACCCACGUCAUGGUGGAUCUCUUCCAGCACACGGCGCCCAAGUGAACAGGAAGAAACAACGAAACAAAAAAAAACAUUGUAGCCGGAUGAGCCUUAUACGAACUACGUUAACGCGAGCAUCGGUCCUCCAGAAUUUUGUCGAUCUCUUUUCAAUUUAUUAUCCCUAUCCCCCUUGGAUUUCUUGCGCAGUGCUACUGCUUUUAUGUAUAAAUAAAAACGUUAGCAAGA